rnacentral:rRNA from 1 species
GCAGUCGANCGGCAGCACGGGGGCAACCCUGGUGGCGAGUGGCGAACGGGUGAGUAACAUAUCGGAACGUGCCCUGGAGUGGGGGAUAACUAGUCGAAAGAUUAGCUAAUACCGCAUACGAUCUACGGAUGAAAGUGGGGGAUCGCAAGACCUCAUGCUCGUGGAGCGGCCGAUAUCUGAUUAGCUAGUUGGUGGGGUAAAGGCCUACCAAGGCAUCGAUCAGUAGCUGGUCUGAGAGGACGACCAGCCACACUGGGACUGAGACACGGCCCAGACUCCUACGGGAGGCAGCAGUGGGGAAUUUUGGACAAUGGGCGCAAGCCUGAUCCAGCAAUGCCGCGUGGGUGAAGAAGGCCUUCGGGUUGUAAAGCUCUUUUGUCAGGGAAGAAACGGUUCGGGUUAAUACCUUGGGCUAAUGACGGUACCUGAAGAAUAAGCACCGGCUAACUACGUGCCAGCAGCCGCGGUAAUACGUAGGGUGCAAGCGUUAAUCGGAAUUACUGGGCGUAAAGCGUGCGCAGGCGGUUGUGCAAGACAGAUGUGAAAUCCCCGGGCUCAACCUGGGAAUUGCAUUUGUGACUGUACGGCUAGAGUGUGUCAGAGGGGGGUAGAAUUCCACGUGUAGCAGUGAAAUGCGUAGAGAUGUGGAGGAAUACCGAUGGCGAAGGCAGCCCCCUGGGAUAACACUGACGCUCAUGCACGAAAGCGUGGGGAGCAAACAGGAUUAGAUACCCUGNNAGUCCACGCCCUAAACGAUGUCUACUAGUUGUCGGGUCUUUAUUNGACUUGGUAACGCAGCUAACGCGUGAAGUAGACCGCCUGGGGAGUACGGUCGCNAGNNUAAAACUCAAAGGAANUGACGGGGANCCGCACAAGCGGUGGAUGAUGUGGNNUAAUUCGAUGCAACGCGAAAAACCUUACCUACCCUUGACNUGG